CCUACGGGCGGCUGCAGUGGGGGAUAUUGCACAAUGGGGGAAACCCUGAUGCAGCGACGCCGCGUGAGUGAAGAAGUAUUUCGGUAUGUAAAGCUCUAUCAGCAGGGAAGAAAAUGACAGUACCUGACCAAGAAGCCCCGGCUAACUACGUGCCAGCAGCCGCGGUAAUACGUUGGGGGCAAGCGUUAUCCGGAUUUACUGGGUGUAAAGGGAGCGUAGACGGUUAUGUAAGUCUGGAGUGAAAGCCCGGGGCCCAACCCCGGGACUGCAUUGGAAACUGUUUAACUGGAGUGCAGGAGGGGCAGGCGGAAUUCCUGGUGUAGCGGUGAAAUGCGUAGAUAUCAGGAGGAACACCGGCGGCGAAGGCGGCCUGCUGGACUGAAACUGACGUUGAGGCUCGAAAGCGUGGGGAGCAAACAGGAUUAGAUACCCUAGUAGUC
rnacentral:rRNA from 1 species